GUGAAUAAUGAUGACUGGUCAUCAUCAUUAAUGAAUCACAGAUGAUGAGUAAUAUGUGUUUGAAACUGAGAGGUCCAA
rnacentral:snoRNA from 1 species